CUUAAGGUCAGAGGUACCGCGGUGGCUGCGGCUGGUCAGUUGUGCUGGCAUCCACAGAUAACAGCUGAUCACGGGUAACAGCUGGUCCUGGGCCUUUGUGAAGUCUGCACAAUGCGUGUGUUUACUUCGUUGUCCUCUGGAGAGGGAUAGGGCCCUUCAAGUCAGGUGCAGCACAGCUUGACUGCGUCUCAAGAACUUGAAAAAGCAAUAAACAAGAGUGGUUUAGACACAGAUACAGAAAAAUAAAGUUCUACUUGUUCAGAUUCAGGGUGCGUGGAGAAGAAAAACAAAUCAACAAAUCAUUUGGAUACCCAAAAAAAUAAACAGUACUUGAAUCAACUGUGCACGAUGACAGCACAAAACCGAAAAGAUAUUGACGUUGGAAGAGCAACCUCUUAAAAGCUCUCUGAAAUUUUGUGACUGCUUUGUCUUUUGCCUUCACUGUGAUCAGUAUAGGCGAAUAAUUAAAAUAGCUGAAUUUGAAACAUCAUAGAGUGUCUGAGAGUUAAGGCAGCUAACAAAGAUGUGUUUUUUAUCAUAGCAGCAAUGCAACAGCCUUUGAGUGUCACGUGCUGCAGCCACAAAAAGAAGAGUAUUGCCUUGAAACCUGUCACCUUACCUGAGCUCCCAUGUCAUUCUCAGUUGUUUUGUAUUGUGCUACUCGUCUUUAGGAAAAUCUGUAGGUUAGUGCGUGGGAAGUUGACUUAGAGUUUAUUCAGGGUCUGGUGUAAGAGGAGUUUAUACAGGCUGCUGCUAUAGCCCUGUUGGACUGUUCUGUGGGUAUCACUGUAGCACGGAAAGAUCAGGAUUGAGAGAAGGCAGAUGAAGGUCAUGACAGUAAAGCGUUGCUAAAUGAGGGUUAUUCUUUGUGACAUCUGUUUUUAAGUAUAUAUGAAACUACACUGUAGAGCAAGAUUCCAUCUCAAAGCUGAGAUAUCUGUUGCCAAAAUUCAUUUAAGAGAGGGCAGGGCUGGCUGCAGGGCUUGCC